CUGAGGAUCGAGCCCGAAACCCCUUGGUUCCUAGGUCGAUGCUCAGCCACUGAGCCACACUGGCCAGGCCAGACUCUGUUUCAAUCAAGUGUGACCAUGUAACAAACGUCCUAUAGCACAACUGAAGAGGGAGACCAUCUUGCCUCCAUGAUUUGAAGCAUGAAGAUAAAAGCUUCACUGUGAGGACGGUGGAGCAAAAUGAUGGAAGGGGCCCUAGCCUGCCUUCAGGCUUCUUGUUAUGGGAGGAAAACAAAAUGCUGUUAUCAGCUUAAGCUACGGAGAUAGGCUUCUACUUCAUGUAGCUAAUUAUAUCACAAUUCAUACACUAUACAUAAAAUUGGUAAAAGUGUUCAUUUUCAAGGCUUAAUCCAAGAGACUCAUGAUACCUAACAAUAAAAUCUCAAAAAGAAGUAUCGUUCUUUAA